AUGUAGAUCUUUGUGAAGACCUUAACGGCGAACACCAUCGCGUUGGAGGUAGAGUCCUUAGGAACCAUCGACAAUGUGAAGACCAAUAUCUAGGACAAGGAGGGCCCCCCGGGCUAGCAGCGAGUCAUCAUUGUCGACGAUCAACUAGAGGACGGAUGCACGCUCAUUGCCUACAACAUCCAGAAGGAGUCGAUGUUGCACCUAGUGCUCCGUUUGAGGGGGGUGCCAAAAGAUGACCUACACCAAGCCCAAGAAAGUAAAGCUCAUUGUUAUGCGGUCCUAUGGGGUUGGCCACUCCACCGGCAAGGUUACCUGCCUCUGCAAGGAAUGACUCAACGCUAA
rnacentral:rRNA from 1 species